UUGUGGAGGAGGACGCCGAAGGUGGGGCUAAUGACUGGGGUGAAGUCGUAACAAGGUAGCCGUACCGGAAGGUGCGGCUGGAUCACCUCCUAACAGGGAGACAACAAAAUGUUUAAUAUUAUUAUUUUGUCACCUUAGGUCGAUCGGUAUCUCACGUUUUUAAUUUAUUAAGAAUUUCAUUUCCUAAGUUUUUCUAGGUCACACCCAUUAUUUUCCUGGGCCAUUAGCUCAGGUGGUUAGAGCGCACCCCUGAUAAGGGUGAGGUCCCUGGUUCAAGUCCAGGAUGGCCCAUAUCUCUAUGUUGGGGGUAUAGCUCAGUUGGUAGAGCGCCUGCUUUGCAAGCAGGAUGUCAGCGGUUCGAGUCCGCUUACCUCCACUGAUCACCACCUCUUCCAUAAUUGGUAGAAAGGAAAAUUUUUUGAGUUGUGAUCAAAUUCUGAAAGAAUCCAGCUUCCUAAUGAAAUCAUUAAGAUGCUGGACUCAUUAAAUUAAUUUCAUUGUUUUCAGAGAACCUUGACAACUGCAUAGAUUAUUUUUAAAGACAAUAAGCAUCUUUAAUGAUGCAGAUUUAUUAUUUGUGCAAAUGCAUUAAUAACAAUUCUAUUAAGCUGAUGCUUCAAUAUUUGAAGUUAUUGGUCAAGCUACAA
rnacentral:misc_RNA from 1 species